GUCUAUGGCCAUACCACCCUGAAUGCACUUGAUCUCACCUGAUCAAAGAAGCUAAGGAGGGUUGGGCUUGGUUAAUACUUGGAUGGGAGACCACACUACCUGGCUCAGGACCUGGCA
rnacentral:rRNA from 1 species